GUCGCUGCCAAUUCAGCGACCGGGUUUAGCAGCCCGAACAUCUCUAGGCGCACAGGCGCCAACCGUACCGGUAAGCAGGCGCUUUUUUU
rnacentral:sRNA from 1 species